rnacentral:lncRNA from 1 species
UAAUGGAGGGUUUCGUCCUAUCCUACCCGUUCGGCUAACGACCCUCCACUAGUCAAGAGUGCGGUGGGUAAGAGUGGAUACCCAUUCAAUCGCCAUUUUAUAGGCAAUUUCCUUAAACACCCCUUAUAGACCAGCUUCGUGAAUGAGGCCUACUAAUGGUAAGACUGACUUUUACUCAUACAUAUAUAUAAUGUUAAACUUUUAAUGUUAUAUAUAGUAUAGGGUGUAUUUUAUACUUUUAAAAUAUUAGGUGGUCAAAUUUAACAAUUAUACCUUUAAUUCAAUUAAAUUGUAAACCAAAACUUUAUGGAUUUAUUAAGCCUCUUUUAAUUAUACACCUUAAUUAAUUAAUAAAACCAUAAGGGUGAGAUUUGAACUUUUUCAAAACUAUACUAGAGUUUUAGAAUUUAACAUUCCUAAUUAAACUUUUAAUCAACUUUUAAAUUCCAAAACUUGAGGGCAAGUUUUGAAACGUUUCAAAACAUUAGGUUUAGAAUUUAAAUAUACAUCAAAUUAAAUUAUUAAUCAAAAUUUAAAUUCCAAAACUUGAGGGCAAGUUUUGAAACCUUUUCCAAAACAUUAGGGUUUUAACUAUUUAAAUUUCUAAACAACUUUUGGGUUCAGAUUUAAACUAUAAAACCUAAGGAGAAAAUAUGAAACUUCUCAUAACAACAAGGAUCAAAUAACAAAUAAUCUAAAUUAAUAAUUAAUCACAUGAUUAUCCAUAUUUGAUUUAUUUAAUGAUUUCUUGCAAAACAAUUUAUCAAUUUAGUCAAAAUAAUUAAUCAAUUAUCACAUAAGGAAACAAUUAUCUUAUUAAUUGAUAAAUAUCUUCAAUUAGAUCAAGAAUAUAGUCAAAUAUAUCAUAAAAUCGGAUUUAUAUUGAUCUAAUAUGAUAAGGUAACUAUCCCAAAGCAAAAACAGCAAGAAAUCCCGAGAUAUGCUCCAUCUGACGAGUUGACUCGUCGAGUCAAGCUUGGACUCGUCGAGUCUGCAUGGACUCGGCGAGUUCAGCUAUGGACUCGGCGAGUCCAGCCUCCAGAAACCCAAAAAACGAAUUUUCCAGUUAUACAAUGCAUCAAUACAAUUGAAACCAAUCUAGGCUCUGAUACCACUGAUGGGUUUUGGUCAUAAGACAUCCUAUGUGCUCAUACAAACCCUAAUGCUUGGAUCUAGGUUUCUCUAUUGUACAUGCUUUGAAUCCAAGACUAUAAACCCUAAUUCUAGCAUAUGGAAAUCAAUAUUAACAUAUAAUUAGGUUUAUAAUAUUACCUUGAUUGUUAUGUAGCAAUAACAAUCCCAAUUCCUCCUUGAAUUGACUUUGGAAGGCUUAGAGUCACAAGUGUCACUCCUCUAAUGGUUCACAAACACCAUAAGCAAGAGGAUGAAGAGGAGAGAGGAUGGAGGCUGCCCAAAACGUGUUCUAACCCUAGAAAAGAAGUUCCCCACGUUUUUGAGCCUUAAGGGUUCUAUAUAUAGUGAGGCUAUUAGGGUUAUCUAACAAGGAAACCCUAAUUUGGUUGCUUAAGCCCUAAGCAACCCAUGGAGCCCUUUCCUUAAGGCCUUGGACGAUUUCAUAUGGGCUUCCCCCAUAGAAUUCGUCCACCUUAUAAUAAAAGGCAAUCCAUGGCCCAAAUUGCAAUUAUCUUAUAAUUACAAUUCCAGUCCCUUAAGUUUAAUUAAUCUCUUUUAGUCACAAAACUAAUUACCAAUUAAUUAUUGACUAAUAUUAAUUAAACAAUAUGAUUUCUCCUUUAAUAUAUUAUUCCCAUAAUAUAUUAAUAAAUCAUAUUUAAUCCUUUCUCUCCAUAAUUCAUCCUAUCAAGUUGCUUUGGUGAAGGUAACCCAAAAGGACCAUGCACCAUCGGGUCAAGUACAUACCAAAAUAGUUAUGGACUUAGACACUAAUCCAACAGAAGAGUCAAUAUACAAUACAUUAUUUCCUUGAUUAUCUACAACAGAUACAGUUUCAUACACGCCAUUACAAGGUAAUGCUUUAAAAUAAUGAACAUUAUUAAAGAAAGCAUCAGUACUCUCAUUAUUAUUAUCAAAAUAAAAAGUAAAACCUUGUUUAUACAUUGCAUGAAAGGAAAUAAUGUUUUUUUCCAUUUCUGGCAAAUAAUAACACUUAUUCAAAUCUAAUGUAAACCCACUAUUUAGCGAUAAUGUAUAAACUCCAAUCUUGGUGACAGGAGAAGCUUUCCUGUUUCCCAUGAUCAAGUUUAUUCUUCCUUGCUCCACAUUCUCACUUUUUCUUAGUCCCUGCAAAUCAGAACAUAUAUGAAUACCACAACCGACAUCAAGGACCAAUGAGUUAGAAUGGGGUGAGUUAUUAGAUAAGAUAGUGUAAAUACCUACAUUGUUGAGUUUAACUUUCCCAUCCUUCACAUCUUGCUGGUACUUUGGGCAGUUCCGCUUCCAAUGUGCCUUUUCUUGUCAAUAGAAGCAUUCACCCUCUUUUGGGUCAGAAAAAGAAGUGAUGAGGCCUUUCUUGGUUCCGCUUAAAGAAGAGCCAUUAAGGGUCCUAGCCUUGGUACCCUUCGAAGAACUCUUUCUCUUCUUCCAUCAUCCUGUCUCGAUUGCCAAGACAGGGGCGGAGUUGGUAGGAGUAGGAGUAGUAACAACUGCCUUACCCUUAAGACCACUUUCCGCGGUCUUUAAGAGUCCUUGAAGUUUGCUGAGAGUGACCUCUUCCUUGUUCAUGUGAUAUGUCAUGCGGAAUUGAUCAUAACACGAUGGUAAGGAGUUUAAAAUGAUAUCUAUUGCAAGCUUCUCGGGGAAGUUCACAUUGAGCAUCAGCAACUGGUCCACAAAUCUUUGCAUUUUCUGCAUGUGGCCCGUGAUGGGUUCACCAUCCUUCAUUCAGGUUGUUAUCUAGGAGGAGAUUAUUUCAUAUCGCUCUUGAUGAGCACUUUGAUGAUAACGGUCGAUCAAGUCCUGGUGCAUCUCAAAAGGAUAAUAGUCCUCAUAUGACUUUUGGAGCUCGGCUGUCAUGGUGGCCAUUAUGAUGCAUGCUACUUUUGUAGCAUCUCUUUCAUGUACCUCAUAUUCAGCAAGCUCUUCAGGAGUUGCAGUUGGUUCGGGUACCUUUAGCUCCUUGUCGAGAACAUAUUCUUUGUUCUCAGACCGAGUGACCAUCCUGAUGUUCCUGAUCCAAUCAGUAAAGUUGCAUCGAUCGAAGAUGACUCUCCCACAAAGAUUCAUGAGAGAGAAAGAGCUAUUAGGUUUAGAGCCAGAAGCAUUGUUAUUGGAAGACAUCUAAAAAGAAGAGUGAAUAGAUUAGAUUAGAUUUAGAGAUAGUCCCUAAUAAAAACCCAAAUGUAGUAUUAAGGCUAGGACACAACACAAUAUUUUAUAACUUAGAAGAGGGAUGCCGUAAUCUAAGCUAUAAGAUAUUUGAAGGUAGGUGAAUGACGAUUCACCAAUUUCCACUAUGAAAAACAAAAUUUUUAAUUAGGUUUUUAAGUGGUUUAGAAACUCCUAGAUUGUUUGAGAUUCAUUGAACUUUCUUCAAUGGCAUGUUUCAAUCUCGAGUGUGCCCUUCAAGUUUUGUGACUAGGUUGCUGAGGAUCACAAAACAAGGUGUGAAGCAACCAUGCAAAUUACUUGGUACCCUCAAUGUAUUACCCCUCAAUCGAUGUGCCGGUUAACCACACACGCUCCAUUGAUACUAUGAUAAACAUUAAGUGACCCUGUACCUACCUUUUUAAGUUCAACUUAAUGUGCCGGUUAACCACACACGCUCCACUAAUGAAUUAAACAAAGCGUAACUUUGUAAUUUGAUGGAUUAGCACCGUAUUCACAUUUUCCUAAAAUUACUAAGAUUGGGAAUUCAAUAAAGUUUAGUUAUUGUAGUAUUAUCAUUAUACUUUUAAUGAGAAUUCAUAAGUCCUUGUCCUACCCGUUCGGCUAACGAUCCUCCACCGAUCAAGGAAGCGGUGGGUGAGAGUGGACACCCAUUAAGUUGCCAUUUUAUAGGCAACAACCUUAUACUCCCCUUAUAGACCGGCUUUGUAAAUAAGGCGUACUAGCGGUAAGACGACCNUCAACUAGAAAAUCGAUCUUUAUAGGUGGGACACCAAAAACGAAAACAGAAAAAGCUGUCGAAACAGAAUAAAAAAGAGACUCCUCAAUGGGCGGAGACUCAGCCUCAGGAAAUUCUGUUAGUGAGAGACGACCUGGCAACCUUGCUAUGUGAUUACCGCCUUUAGAAAGCAAUUAAGACAGAAUGGAAUGAAUGACUGAACGAGCAGCCGGGCAUGGGCAUGGGAAAGAAGUUCCCUUAUAUAAUGGAAUCAUUGAACUAGGCUAGGAAGAAAGAUCAAUCAAUUCUAUAUGCGCUUUUGCCAUCCGAUCCGAUGACCCCCUUGAUGCCCUUUAUGUUCUCUCUCUUGCCAUAGAGUAAGUGUGCCGUUACGGGCCCCUAUCUAGGUGCUUUGUCUCCGACUCACCGGAAAAGGAAGAAAGAAGGUUUAGCGACUCCGCCCUACACUCCUAUUGGCUAGUGAGCUAGUUCCCCUUAUCUAGAAAUUACAAACAAUUCCUAUGAUCAUGUAAUCUUUAUAAUUUCAAGAACAUGAAUAUUAACAUUUCAAGAAUCAUAAAUUACUCAUAGAUCUUAUAAUUUUUGAUUAUACCCAUUGGAAAUGGAUUAGCAUAAACAUUACACCAUCUAAAACAAGUUUUAUAACACCAAAACAGUUUAGGGUAAUGUUUGUAGUUCAUUUCCACCAGCAAAAGUCGAAAAUCUACAUUCUGAGGCUCCUACUCGUUGAGUGCACAAACCUACUCGGCGAGUAGGAUGAAGAUACACAUGAAAUCGACGAGUCCCCCCAUGGACUCGACGAGUUCAUCAGGCAGACAGCAAGAUUUCGACUUUUUCCAAUAUUUUGCAUCAAGUAUCAAACAAACAAGCCUAGGCUCUGAUACCACUGAUGGGUUUUGAGCAUUCUAACACUUCCUAAGUGUACAUGCAACCCUAAUAAACCUUGGAUCUAUGUUUGUCUAAGAUACAUGCAAAUAAUUAUUUUUCCAAGGUCCUUAUCCUAUCUAGCAUGACAUGGGGAACAUGAAUCAAAUAAAGCUAGUAGAAUUACUUACCUUGUAGUUGUAGUUGAUUGCUUGGAGUUUUAGAGCCUAGCACCAAUACUGUGGAUGCGUCAAAUGGAAAUAACAAAUCACCACAAACUUGGAACUUUGAGAGAAUUGUCACAACUAUCUUGAAAUCGGCCCUCUUGCUUUACUCACCUCAACUAGUAUGAUUUCAAGAACCAAGGCCUUCUUUAUAUAGUGUGGUGGAUUAGGGUUACAUCCAUGUAAAAACUAAUACCCAUGUCUCUUCAUUUCAAUGAGAUCCAUGAGUUAAAGCUCCAUGGAGUAUCCAUGGACUUUCCAUGCAAGCCUAGCCCAUUCCAAAUAAGCAUUAUCCCACACUAUAUAAAUAUAGGAGCCUAUAUUUAAUUAUUAAUACUUUUGAUCUCUAAAUUAAUCCUAGAUUAAUUAUAGAUCAAUACUAAUUAAAUAAUGUGAUCUUAUAUUAAUAUAUUAGAACUUAUAAUAUAUUAAUAACUCAUAACUUAUACUAUUCUCCAAAGAUUAUCCAUAAAUUGUUCGGGUGAAUUGCAACCCAAAUGGACCAUGCCGGGUCGGGUCAAGUACAUACCAAAUAUAGUUAUGGACUUAGACACUAUAUCCAACAAAUAGAAGUAAGAACAAAGGAAAACCGUGCUUCUUACAUCUGAAGUGUUUGAGUGUCUUUUCGUCACUCUAUAACUAGUAAAUCGACUCAACCUAGUGAGUUAAUAUUUACAUUACUCACAUUAGGUUUUGAAAUUAUCAUCUUUUCCUGUCAUGGCUAAUAACAAUAAACCGAAUCACGAAAUCUCAAUCGAUAGUGAUUACUUCUCAAAUUCAUAAGUCUAUUUUAUGUAGACUCUAUUAUGAAUUACUUUCAAAUCUUUUCGAAUGUUGGAACAUGAUAUCUAUCAACUAAAGAAAACUCAGUUUGGAUAACACUCGUCUGGUAACCAUUCUAGAAACUUACUUCUUAUUUUUACUAGGACUAUAUCAUAGGGAUGUAGGUUGAACCUUUGAGAUCAGUAUAAAGAAACAGAAAAUUUGUAUUCAUAUAAAUGAUUACAAUACAUCUAGAGCCAACUAUUGUUAUUCACAAGCUCGUGUUCUCAUCUUACAACAGAAUCAUGCCUCCAAAGAAAUGCAACCAACCCACUGGCAAAAAACCAAUCCUUCAGAUAGAUGCGGCUACGAUUCAAGUCGCAGUCAUAACACCCGUAACAACUGUCGUGGCCCAUCUUAAUUCUAAUAACACAAGUGACAGUGAAAAUUUUAUCGGCAAUUUUGAUCGUUGUGAUAACCAAUUUCAGCAACGAGUUCGUACUUUUAAGGACACUCCGAACCUCAAACCUAAUAUCCUGAAACGAAAGUUCAAGAACAUGAAAGGGAGUUGUUCAACUCAAGAACCUAGUAGAGGGCAACAAAAUGGAGCAGUCAAUACCCCCAUCAGCCGUGUUAUUCCAGCACCGACCACACCAUACUUAGGAAACCUCCCAUACUAUAGGAAGUGCAACUACCAUCAUUACGGAGUCUGCCAAGUGCUGCAUUGCAAUAGAUGCAAGAUGAAGGGGCACACAGCCCACAUCUGUAAGACUCCGGUCAAGUUCAUCACUUCAACUACCAAUGUUGGAAUCAAUCCAAUAUGCCAUUUAUGUGGCAAAAUAGGACAUUUCAAGAGGGAUUGUCCAACAGAAAAGUGUAACGGGGGAGCAAGAGGAGUUUGACCCCAGAUUGGGGGGAAGCAUCAAAGAACCCUGCUAUAUUUUUGGUACGCUUCUGAAGCCCAAUAAUUAAUGAUAUUUAUAAAUUACUCUCUCGUUCAAAACAAAUCAUAACACUUAUAUAAAACUCAAAACCCUAACUGGUAAGCUAUGAUGGCUUAGUGUAUAUAUUAGGGUAACUUAUAAUUAAGAUUUGUAGACUUAGAGUCAGUGAUCCCGCCUCAUUUCCUGUUCCUUGUUUGGUUGUGGAUUUAGCACAGGAUAGCUCAGUCAACUGUCUUACCAAUCUUAAUUAUACAUGACUUGUGUACACCAAGCGGUUAUAGAGAGACCUAGCAGGGAUAAUUUCAUGAAAGUUCAUGAUUUCAAUUUGCCAGAACCCUAGUAUUAUUAGUACUCCCCAUGAUCAAAUCAAAAAGGGGUUCGUAUCUAUAUAACAUAAUAAAACUGAAUGCAUUAAAAACUUAUUUACUUAGGAUUCUUCAUCAUCCUAGUAAUCAUCUCUUCCAGAAUGACUUAAUAUCAAGUUCAUCGAGAAGUUCCGACAUUCUCAUCCGACAUGGUUCGGCUUGGUCCUUACCAUGUAAAAAUUCUCAUGCUGUGUAAAAAAACUUUUUGCUUAAUUAGCCGUUAAAUGAAAUUCCUCCGAUCCAUAACGCAAACCCUUAUAUCAUCUCUCACCUGAAGACCUCAGAAGUACCUAGGGAAGGGGUACCAUACCUUCGAGCCUGCUUAAUAGAUAAAAAACUUGAAGCGAAAACCACCAAAGAAGUCUCAGAAGUCAGUAACUACCCGUAGUAUACCCAAUAGAUCUCCGAGGAAGACCACUUUUUAAUGCAGGUCAAGUUCAAGAAUAGAGUAUAAGAACUCAUUAGAUUAAUCUAUCGCUGCUAAACGUAUAUGCAAGAGUGGCAUAUAAUUUAGAGUCAACAAGAUUUAGGUUGUGUGCUUCCGCCCUAUUUCCUGUUCCUUUUCUAGUUGUGGAUUUGGGGUAGAGGGACCCACCCAAACAUUUUGUUGACCUAGGUUAUAUACGACUCAUAUACACGAGGUGAUGAUAGAUGAGCCAAGUAUGAGUAUUAUCGUGAACUUCAGAACAAAAGGCUACAACCCUACUACAACAAACGGAGACACCUGAGUAGAAGUGGUAGUGGAUUACAAUGGACCUCAUAAUUAAAUUAUUCAAGACAACAGGUGGACUUAAUGUCAUUUUGGAUGAUUGUCGACCGAUUAGCCAAGUCUGCGCACUUCCUACAAUUUUUAAGAAAUAGACAAAUAGAGAAGAUAACUAGAUCGUGUGUUAGAGAGAUUAGUCAAGCUGCACGGUGUUAUAAUAUCUGUUAUCUCUGUUGAGCUAAUAGAAUCAUCUUCCAGUUCAAGGAGUCACUUCAGAAAUCUCUGGGAACUAGGCUAGUCGUGAGCAUACCCUACCAUCCUUAAACCAUUAGACAGAAUGAGAGAACAAUUCUAUUAUUAUCAGUUAUACUAAGAGCAUAUAUGAUCGACUUUGGUAAAGCAUGAGAUACCUAUUUACCAAUUAGUCGAGUCCUUGAUCAUGCUAGCAUUUAAAGUUGCUCCAUUCAAAACCCUCUGAAGUCACAAGUGCAGAUCCCUCUGCUCUGGACUAAAGUAGGUAAUACGCAAGUAGCUAGAGGUUCAAAUUCCAGUUAGCACCUUCGCUGGUCAAGAAUUCAUCCAAGAAACUACCGAGUAGGAAGUACAAAUCAGAAAGCGAAGUAAAGCUUCAAAAGUCAAACAGAAAAGCUAUGCCUUAAAUAGGAGAAAACUCUUGGAGUUUCAGGUUAGUGACCACGUCAUGUCAAGGUCUUACCCUGGAAGGGCAUGAUAUGUUUCGGAAAGCAUUGAAUACUAAAUCGAAGGCACGUAGGAUCAAUAAAUUUCACCCUAUCUUUCCACAUCGUUAGCUUGAAAAAGUGUUGUCCAACAGUACCUUUGUUAUCCCACUCGAUUAAAUCGAGUUAAAUUAGAGCCUUAGUUUUGUAGAUGAAUCCAUAGAAAUCCUAUAUGGAGAAAGUAUCUGUAGAAACAUUAGACAGAGAAUUCUAGAGAACGAAAACGAAACCAUACCCCGAUAGUGAAGUUUCACUGUAAUUCAUAACGAGAACCUGAAUACACUUAAGAGCGAAACAAUCAAAUGAAACAUGAGUAUUCAUACUUUUCACAUUCAUCCAUAUGUAUUUCUUUGACUUAAUUCUAGGACGAAAUUACCUCUAACGGGGGAUAAUGUAACAACCCGUUACUUUCUAGCCUUUGAAGUCAACAAAAGUCAACCCAAGGUCAUUCGUGUUCAAUAAAAGUCAACUUAAAAUAACGUCAAUAAUUAAAUUGUUGAAUAUUCUUGUUUGGGUUAAAUAAACUAAUAGAUAUUGUAACAAGGUCUCCAAAAAUAUAAAGAAAAAUGAAAUCCGAGUUAUAGCAAAGAAGUUAUGACAAAUCGAAGAUCCGCGUCAAAACUGGAAAAUCAUUGUUUAACGUAAAACGUGAAUUUUCAAGAAUAUGCUUUUGAGCAUUAACAAUCUACAUGAAAGUCAUAAAAGACGUUGAACCGAGAGUUUCCUUAAAAAGAAAGUCUAAAUCUGACUUCGUAUGAAGAAAUUAUGAUUUUUCUAAAGUUUCGACACACCAGUAUACAACCCGAAACUCGAGUUCUAGUUUGAACAAUUUUUUGCGAAAACAGCCUAAACGAGAAUCGAAGGUCUCGUUGAUCAUAGUGCAACGAUAAAAAGACAGACGGAAACGGACGUCGGAUGAAGAAGUUAUGCAUUUAUCACGAUGUUUUUCCUGUCCCGACAUAGUAAAAAUAAUAUAAUAAAAAUAAAUUAAAAAUUAGCCGACGGAGUAUAAAUGAAAGUUGUAGAGCAUAGUCUCACCUACGUGUGGAUAUAAAGAACGCCAGAAACGAAGCUCGUAUAAAGAAGAUAUGUAUUUCUGAAGUAUUUAAGUAAUUAAAAUAUAUUUAUAAAAUUAUAAAUUCGGAUAAUAUCUGAAGAGGUGACGCAUCCGACCUGUUCAACCCGGUACGCCCUGCGUACUAGGAUUAAGCCCCGUGUACAUGUCGACACCGAGGUACGCCCUACGUACGAGGUAGUUACGCGUAGCGUAUAGCUGCAUUGCUCGGUCCAAAAGAGUCCACGUCGCCCCACCGAAGCCUCGACACCUGGCAGGCCCAUCCGAACUACGCGCCGCGUAGAGCUUCGUACGCCCAACAUACCUGAGAGGGUGCAACCCUAUAAAAGGCAUGCGAGACCUCCGGUUUUUGUUGCUAAUUUUUCCACUUCUUCACCUCUUUCUUUCUUCUUCUUGUCAAUUUAUACCCCCGAAGCCCCGCUAUCAAUCCCGACUUCCGAAGCAAGACCCGAUGUCCAAAAUUCUCGAAAAUCUAACUUCUCUCCAGUCGAAACUCUGACCGCAUAAAGCUCGAUUUUCAUCAGAAACUCGCGGUUACGUCAAGAUAGCUCAUUCCUAGAAACGAAAAGAUGCCCAAAUCACCAGUUAUUGGUGAGCUCAUAUCCGUAUGAUCUACAUUUUAAAUGAUUUUAAAUGCUUUAUAAGGGGGGAAUACAAGUGGAACACAAUCAUAUUGUGUUAAUAAUUCAUGUGAUAUCAAUCUCAUAAAGGUUCUUCUUAUGCUUUUAAAUAUGGAAUUUACAAUUAAGGAUUAUCAAUCGUUUCCAGAAUAAAUUGAAGUAAUAUAAAUUCUUUUAGAAUAACGUUAAACUCUUUUAAAUGUUUUUAUAACUCUUUAAACUUAUAAUUGCCAAAAUCAUGUUUAUAUAUGUUUAAAUAUAUAAAUAAGAUUUAAAGGGCUUAGGACUAAUGAAUUACCUUAAUUCCUUUUCCUUGUUUGGAUGUGGGAUUAAGUGGUGUUAUUUUUCUGAAGGUCGUUUCCUUCUUAAUUAUAUAUAUAUUAUACAUAUAUGAAUAUAAAAGGUUACUUCAUUCGGUAUCAUUACCUGUACUGCUGAACUUUGCUGAUAACCCUCUGGUUGCAGACCGACAACUCUCUGAACCGCUGCUCCACUAGCUCUCCGAGCUACUAAUAUCAAUAUAACACUUAGUUCCAAACUGAACUCUAGAAUUCAAACUAAACCAACUUUGGUCAAAGUGAAAGUCUUGGUCAAAGUCAACUUUCCAGUUGACUCGACUUGCCGAGUCAACCUAUAGACUCGCCGAGUUCUUAAAUUCAGAAACUUCUCAAAAUACGAACCAACUCGCCGAGUCACCUUAAUACCCAUCGAGUUCAACGAUAUCUGGGUCCCAGCCUAUCCAACUCAUUGAGUCACUACUCAAAUCACUAAUCUGCGUCUUGACUAGAAAAGGUCGAGGUUCUGCGACCAGACUCGCCGAGUCCAAGAACAGACUUGCCGAGUCCAAGGCAAUCUUCAACAAACUAGCCGAGUUGUUCAUCCAACUCGCUGAGUCCAUGCUCAUGUUCAUACAACUCGCUGAGUACACCCAUGUGACUCGCCGAGUCUCUCCAGUUCUCAAUCCAUACAGUGGCUUUUUGAGCCAUGCAGGGGCUCCAAUCCAUAGAUCCACUCUUCUACAAUCUAACCCUUAUGUAAAGUUGCAAACUUCACGUGAAACCAAGGAGAUAAAGGUCUAAAUCACUCUAGGGCUAGGGCGUAAGACAAAGGGGCUUUACCAACAACUCUUUGACUGAUGCUUUAUGAUAUUCUAGACCAAUACAAGUGUAGAUCUGGAGUAGCAACCUCAGAUCUAAACUCCAAACCCGAAAUAGAUCUCAAACACACCAAAAUGGCCCCAAAUAUCAUUCAUGAAUAGAUCUAGAUGCAAAAGAGGGAAGGUAACAACUUAUUACCUCCAAGAUGUGCCCAAACCGAAGUAGAUUCUGGAUCUACACCACUCUCUUGAUGCAGCCCUCUUGAUCUUCAAAUUUCUGCCAUAGAAACAACUUCCAAAGCUUCAAUCUCCCUCCAAAGGCCUCACACUCGCAAGCUUAGGGUUUUCUGGUUCUCAAGGGCACUAAAGAGGCUGAGAGAAGGAUAUAAAGUCCUUUAAACAGGGUGCAACCCUUGAGAUUAGGGUUUUCUCAUUCCAGCAUCAACUUGUCGAGUCCAACUUCCGACUCGGCGUGUUGGUCACUUAAUUCGCGACCCAAAACCCGCACCGGCUCGACGAGUAAAUCUACCUACUCGUUGAGUCCCUUCUUCAAUUUACACUUUAAUCCCUUAACUCAAACUUCUGAAAUUUGGGAUGUUACAAAGGAUCAUGUGGAAAAUGGUAACGUAGAUAUUCAUUUUGUAAGGACUACUGAUCAAUUGGCUGACAUCUUUACUAAGGCCUUACCUGAAAUAAGUUUAAAUAAAAUCCUAUAAGGCUUAGGAAUGAUGGAAGUUGAGUUUGUACCAAAAUCACUUUCGCCUCAAUAAAAGUUGGUAGCAAAAUAGAGUGAACGCUCGGUCCAUUUUGGGUUCAGUUCUUUUAGGAACCGAAAUGAACCGGUUCUUAUCUUCUAGUGAUGGUUUCUAUUAUAUAGUAUGUAUACUCUUCUCUCAUAUUUAUUUUAUGUUUUUCCUUUUUUUUCAUAAAAUCCCAAAAUAUUUUUCUUUCUGUUUUAAUUCUUUUUUCAGAAAAUCUUAUAAAAUUCAAAAACAUUUUUCUUUUCUGCUUUUAUUUCUUUUUAGAAACUUCAAAACUCAAAAAUAUUUUAUUUCAUUUUAUUGAAAUUUUCUUCAAUCUUAAUCUAAUUUGUAUAUAUGGACUAUUCACAAUGAUGGAGUAGGGGCAUGUAUAAUUCUUUAUCUAUGUACUAGCUAAGUGUCCCUAGAAGCAUGUUGUUGUAUGUUGACUCAAGCCUCAAAGCUUCUGAGUGAGGCCUUAAUGACUUGAUAAAAACCAAUCAUGUCUUCCCAAUUAGGCUGUCAAAUUCACUCUAAUCAUGAGCUACCAUACUCUUCUCCAAAUUGAGUUAAGAGUUUUUCUACGUGGUCCUAUUUUAUAGCAGUGGUACAUUUGUUCUUUAACCACCUCAAUUUUUAUUUUGAGAGAUCCAUAUGAUAGUGUCUAUAACCAUGACUUUUCUUCCCAUAGGAUCCAAUUUUUAUUUUUUCAUUGAGAUUUUUAAUUAUCUUUUGUCAACAAGUCACUGAAUAUGUUCCAAAAGUAGUUGUUUAACAGGCCUUAUUGGUCUCACAAGUACUUCUUUCUAUUUCGGUCUUAUGUCAAGUACCAAAACCAGAAUUGAAGCAAAAGCCACCCUUAAUAGCAGUAUAUAUCAAAGAUGCCUUUCAAUGCUUCUCAACAAGUAUUUGAUUGUAAUUCAAUGGGAAUCCAAACAAGCAUUUUGAAGUCUCUCUUGACUUUGAAGGAAGAGAUUUGUGCCCAUGAUCCACUGCUUUAUGAAUUAAAUGACAUCACAAAAUCCCACAAAUAGUUUGAUUUAUUUCUUUAACUUUGACACUAUCUUGCACGAAAAUCUCGAAUUUUCCAAAAGUCUUGUUCGGUUCAUAAAUAUAUAGCUUCGGUUCCUAACGGUGUAAUGUAGUAAUUUCCAAAUGAAGGGAUGCGUCGUAUAAAGCCUUUGUUAAUUAUGACGAUAAAGUUUCAAGCAGUGGGUCAGCAGGAAGUCUAAUCGAUUCUUAAUCAAAAUAGGAUAAGUAUGGAAAGGCCCGUGAAUUUGAACCGUUACCUUAUCGUGCGUCAUCAGCUGCUUUAUCGGGGUUGCCAGUGGUCCAAUCACGCCUUUUUAUGCAUCGUUUCCCAAAUUAGAGGAAUCAUUGCUCGUGAUUUUUCUCUCUCUAACAAAAUUGUAUAUAAGGGUUUCGAUUUCCGUGGUAUUAUUGUCUACCACUCUUCAUCUCUCUACAUCAAAAUAAGUUGAUUUGGUAUUCACUGUUCAUCUUCUUCUUCAUCAAGCUUCGACAAUGGCAAAAUCUUCUUUUGUUCAAGAAACCUUUACACACUCCAAUCUUCUCGCAAUGAAGCCCAACCAGAACUUGCUGAUUGAUCUCACACCAUUCCUCUAUGAUACAUACAUGUAUCACGUGGCGGAAUGUCUUAAGUAUUUGCUACUCAUCAAAGCAUUAUCAACGGUGGAUGUUGUACCAAUGGCGUGCCUUUCUCAACUCUAUUCCACUGCAACUUACGACAAACCUUCAAAAAAGAUUUAUUUUGGCAUUCUCAAUUAGAAGGCCUCAAUAUCCAAGAAUCGAUUUUACUCGCUGCUAGGGCUCACUUAUGAAGAAUCCAUGGUGAAUCUUGAUUCCAUCUCUACAGGUCAGCUUUUCUCAAUGUUUUAAAACAUGGGGUACACUGAAACCCUUACUACUAUGAACAAAUUUAAGAAAUCAUGCCCUCCUCCUCCAUGGAAUGGCCUCUUCACCCUUCUUUUUAAAGGACUUUUACAAAGAAGUGCAGGAUCAGAUGGCGCUAGCAAGUCUUUCAUGACUCUGCUUUAUUGGUUAUACGAUGGUAUCAACCUUGAUUAUGGUUCAGUAUUAUCGCUUAAGCUUGUCAUAACUUUGUCUUCUGCUUCUCGCCACACAUAGAUUUCCUGUUCCCGUUUUUGGACCAUUAUCACUCAAUGGAUUAUGGAGCGUUUUCAUGUUCCCAUUAUGGCUGAUUCACUUCUCCCCUUCAUUGCUACAUUUCAUACCACAAAUAUCAUAGUCACUCAUCCCUCGAAAUUUCACUUUGUUGGCUCUAUCCCAGAGUCAAUGUAUGCUUAAGUGUCUCAUGUAAGCAAGCUUACUCAAGAGUACAAGAAGCUCCCCUCUUUUGGUCCAAUAAAACUUACACCUGAAAUGUUAAAGUCUAUUGAAGAAGCAGACAAACCUGCUAAUAGGGGCAAGAAGCCAGAAGCAAAAAAGGGAGAAAAAGGGGGGUAGAGUAUCAAAGGUUCACUCUCCAAAGAAACAAAAGUCUGAGAAGGCAACACCUUUCCAACCCUAGCAGAAGAAGGUCAAGAAACCUGCUCGGAAGCUUAUUCUUCAAUCAUCAAGCGACUCUGACUCUGAGUAUGUGCCUACUGGUCAUCAACCCAUCAUUCGUAGCGAAUCUGAGAGUGAAAGCUCAGAUGAUGAAGAUUCGGUUCGUGGUGGCUCACCACCUCGCCCCCCUAUGCCAGAGGUUUCUGUUUGCUCCCAAGCACCUUCUCCUCCACCUUUUUCCAUUCCUAUUUCCUUACCUCACAAUUUCCCAAUAAUCACAUCUCAACCUUCCUCUACCAUUCCCAUUCCUACACCUAUUUUCUUUGAAGCUACAACCACCAUUACAGGGUGCUGCAGCGCAAAAUGCCAACACGGUCAGUGCUUCGGUUAAGACCUUAACUCAAUCUCUUCAACAAAAGAAAGAUCUCUUUGAGGUGCUUCGCCAGAACCUCUGUUCUGGUCAAGUCAAACAUCAAGCUUCGGUCUCUGAACGUUUAAAUGAACUUCAGGGAUAUCUUGCCUUGGAAAGCAGGGUGAUGGAUGAACUUGCUCUAAAGACCACUCAACUCAAAACCCAGACUCUCAAGCUUAAUCAAGCAAACAAGGAACUUGAAGCACUACGUUCGGAGCGGUCUGUGGUAAAAAGCUCUGUUGGUAAUGUUCAUUCCAUUCUUCUCCAUCUUCUUGAAGCCUACGAUUCGGUUCUUACCAUCUUAGUUAGACAUCAUUUAGCUGAGAAAUUACGGCCUGCUCUUGAUAUUUUAAGCCGGAUAGAGGGUGUUACAGAGUCCGUUGUCUCUCCGCAACAUGGGGGAGAAGAAAAAAAGACUUCAUCCUAACCACCGAAACCUCAACACCCGAAACCACAACAACCAAAAGUGGUUACCGAACCGAAAGGGAAAGAAGCUUCGGGUUCUGGUGUGAAAGGAUAAGGGAAAAGAAAUUAUUGAUAAUAAUGAUGAUGAGGAUGACGUUGAUGUUAUUGAAGAAACGGUUCCUAAACCAAGUCCACUCAAAGCCAAGCCCACUACUCAGGAGAUUAAGGAAAAAGUCACUGAAGCGAUUAAUAAGGAGAAUGAGAAGAGAGAAGCAAAUCUGCUUAAUCAGAGGAAAUUGAUGUUUCCUCUGUGGACGUUGGAAAGGCAUCAAAUGGAGGUUGUUGAAGCUGCAUGUUCAAACUGGCUAGAGGCUUAUCUUUCCUUCAAUGUCGAGAAUUCUAAAGAUUCUCAAUUUUAUAUGCCAAUCACUAGUAAGGCUAUCAUCUUUCACUGCUUUGAGCCUACGGUGGUGAUUCCUUCUCCUGACCCGAAGAUUGAUUAGACUUGCUUAAAUACUAUUAUGAAUUCUAUUAACCUCUGUACCUAACCUGGAGUAACAAAAAAAUGACAACAGUCAAGGUGCUGAAACCUACUAGGGAAGUUUAUUAAUAUCAAAUUCAAAGCGACCCGAGGAUCAGAUCGUUCGGUCCAUAUGAUUUCCCUUGUUGAUCUGCCAAAUCUGAAUCCACACGAUUGGAUUCUCCUGAAGAACAUCCUUCACUACAAUCAGAAGGAAUAUGAGCCCAUCAUCGAUCACAUCAAGCAUAUGCUAGUAUGUUACAUUCAUGAAGUGGCAAAGAUGGAUCAGGAAAUUGUUGCUGCUAUACGCAAGAGGCCCUUAAUCAAGCAAGUCGAGAAGGCAGGUGACACUAAGCUGAUGGUGAAAGAAUUAUUGAUCCACAGUCUCACAUUGUUAUGUUUCUUAGAGGCGAUGGUCAAAGGUUGUUAUUUGCUCUGGCUGACAAACAUCUAUUCUCUAAUUCUUGCUUGGAGCACAUUCUUGAGCUUAUCCAUGGAUGUGAUCAAAACAGUGAGGCAGAGAAAAAGCUGAUUUCCGAUAUGCUUUGGUGGUAUAUGGCUUUCAGACAGACUCUUCUUGCAAUUAUUACAAGAGUGUUCAAGGUUGUGAAGCGAACUCCUCAACCUCCACUGAAGUGAAGUCUCGCCCCAAUUGACGCAAAGGGGGAGAUUGUUGGGUCCAGAAGUGUUGCGUCUUUGGGCUCGAUCUUUUGCCCAAUUUUGUUAUCCAGUUUGGGUCUGUCCAACCAUGUUUGUUUUUAAUAGGGUUUUAGUAUUUAAGGUGCAUGCAUACUGAUGGGUUUUGGUCAUAAGACAUCCUAUGUGCUCAUACAAACCCUAAUGCUUGGAUCUAGGUUUCUCUAUUGUACAUGCUAUGAUUCCAAGACUAUAAACCCUAAUUCUAGCAUAUGGAAAUUAGAAUUCACAUGUAAAUAGGUUUAAGAACAUACCUUGAUUGUUAUAUAGCAAUAACAAUCCAAUUCCUCCUUGAAUUGACCUUGGAAAGCUGAGAGUCACAAGUGUCACUCCUCUAAUGGCUAACAAACACCAUAAGCAAGUGGAGAAGGUAUAAAGAGAGAGGAGAGAGGUUAGAAUUCGUCCUUAGGACCUCUUGGGAAGGGUUAGACGAAUUCCUAAGCCCUAGGGGGUUUAUAUAAUUGUAAAGAUUAAGGUUUUAGUACUUAUCCUUAUCUAGUUGCUUGUCCACCAAGCAACCAUAAGAUAAGUCCUAGAAACCCUUAUCCUAGUCGAAUUCUAAGGGAUUUACACCUCAAAUUCGUUCACCAUAUAUAUAAGAUAAUCCUUACCUUAUUUUGUAACUAUCACAUAAUUACAAUUCAGCCCCUCUAGUUUAAUUAAUUACACUUGAUCACAAAAUUAAUUCUUAAUUAAUUAUUGACCAAUAUUAAUUAAACAAAUAUGAUUUCUCCUUUAAUAUAUUAUUCUUAUAACAUAUUAAUAAAUCAUAAUAACCUCUCUCUCUAUUUAUUUCUCCAAUCAAGUUGCUUUGGUGAAGGCAACCCAAAAGGACCAUGCACCAUCGGGUCAAGUACAUACCAAAAUAGUUAUGGACUUAGACACUAAUCCAACAGUCUCCCACUUGGAUAAGUCUAACAACUAUUCUGCGUAUGACUUCGGAUCCCGAUCUGCAAUCGUAGCUUUCCAAAGCCGCUGUCAACUCUGAUCAUAUCAGAUACGCGUGUCCUUAGAUAAGGGAUCAUAUAUUCCUCCAUUCUAGAUAUCAUAUGAGAUAUGAUUUCAAAUCAUUCUCUUUGUACUAUAUCUCGAUUUCCGAUUUAUGACGACUGACUAAUUGAACAAAUCAAAUUAGCCCUAGCCCGGCCGAGCAUUUACGUUUGUCAUCACUAAACCAUCGAGGGGCCCAAAGAUAUCGCUUUUAUCCUACUUUGGAUAAAAGGAACGGAUAAACUUUGAUACAAUGCUUGCUUGCACUCACUCACCGAAUCACACACAACAAUAUGUUUUAUAACACCAAGUUACUAGUGCGUUUACAUAUUAUCAAUGUGCAACCGAUUUGCAAGAUACAACUCACACAUCUCGGUUUCAAGAAUAUAAGAUGUUAUCGUCUCACCAAUCACUCGUGAUACAAUUCAUGGAGUGAUCCAAGUGAGCGUGGGUUUAAUCCAAUGCUCAAAUCACAUUCAUAAGCACUCAUGAACGUUGCAGCAAACAUUUGCUUAUGUCUAAUACUCUUUUAGACAAUCCACACACCAAUUCACGACAGUCUUCAUUCAUAUCUACUUCCAACAUAUGAACGACUGUGGCCCGUUUGAAUAAUUCGAUUAUUCUUAAUAAACUCAAUUAUUCUGGAAGUCAAAACAUGCAAAUGUGAAACACAAGAAUAAUACUAAUCCCAUAUGGCCUCAAACCUUUGAGUAUAAAUAAAACACCUUUUAUUUAUCACCAUAUUGAUUACUCAUUAUUUGUCGUUUCGGGUAAUCAACUUCUUACUUGAAUUCCAACACUUGUCCCAUGCUCCUAGCAUGCACACAAUGUUUACCUAUGGUUCUUACUUUGUGAAAUAGAUCACAUUGAACACAUUUCCAAUCCUUCUCAUUUCACAACUCCAAAUCCGUUUUUCAUAAGUCAAAGAAUAUCAAAUUCUUGCUACUUAUAGAAUAUGCUAGAUUCUAACAUUCUAUGCAACUAUCCUUUCGUAAUGUCACUGCACCAAAGUCACAAAGACUAUUGCCAAUGAUAUUACAAAGUCCUCUAUCGGAGAUUGUUACAAGACAAUUCCAUAGACGUGAUGUCUCUCACUCAAAGUACAUUCUUUGAACAUCCUUUUGCAUAGAAGUUUCUAAUCUAGUCAUAGAUUUCUCAAUAUUCAAUUCCCAAUAUGGACACACUUCCAUAUGUUCCAUAUGACAACUCAUUCUUAAUAGAAUCUUAUCUAUUCGUAAUGAUGUCGAUAUGGUCCAUCCAAUAUGGAAACAUUUCCAUAUUUUCCAAUACUAUACUUCCAACUACUCACAAGCGACCAAUCCUCGUCGAACUUUGGAUUGUCCUUUGAUAGUUGUUUAAUUAUUUUAGUCAAAACCAAUUCUAGUCCCUUUUCCCUCUAAAUGCGCUCGACAUUUGGAAAAUUUUAGAAUGGUCAAACAUUAAAGCAUUUGCAAUCGAUCCUAUACCCGAAGCGUAUGGGACACGACGCAUAAUGUUUUAUUUGCUAUGUUCUCAAAAUUCGAAUUGUGAAGAGGGAUGCCGUAAUCAUAAUCGAAAUUUUAAGAACACACUAUGUACCUUUGACUAAAUUUAUUAACAUUUCUCAACCUAAUCCUUUAGAUUUGAAAUGAAGCAUAAUAUUCUCUCCCUUAAUUAUAGCAAAACAACCUUUCAACUCUUACAACUUUGCAAAGUAUGACUCUUGUUUUCUAUAAUUAAUAUUGCUAACCUUGCAAUACUUUCCUUAAUAAUCAUACAAUCAUAACAUUUAUGCUCCCACUAUCAUGAUGAUUAUUAUAAAACAUAACACUUAUGCUCCCACUAGCUUCGACAUGUAUUCAUAAACAUCUUAACUUUCAGAAAAACAAUACUUAUUGAAUUUCUUAAGUUCAUGUUUCUAAUACUUAGUGCUUUGAUAAUCCUUUAUCAAUGCUUCUUGAACUUAUACACCUUUGCCUUCGAUAGUUCAUAUGUGUGUCUAAACAAUUAAGACUAAUUGCCAAACCUCACAAUUCAAAUUAUGGAAAGGGAUACCGUAACCAUAAUCGAAUUCGAGAAUGCAAUUUUACAAUCACUAUCUUCUUAAAAUCUUUCUUAGUGAAAGCAUUUCCUCACAAUCAUUUUCAUGAAGGAGGAAAUCUUAUGACACUUAGAUUUGAACGGUGUAUGUGUUCCUAUCCAUGUGAAUUUGUUAAAACCAAAGUUUACGACAAAUUCAAACUCAUAUGGACCGAACUUUCUUAAUCUUGAUUUCUUGCCUUAUGGUAGCACAGCUGCCCACCAUGUCUUCCAAGUAGUUAAGCAGCUCACCCUUUCCUAUCAAUGUACCUUUCAUUGAUUAAGGUGCUUUGCCUUUUAUGCGUUCAAAAUGAGAACUCAUAGAACUCACAUGCAUAAUUAACUCGAUUGGAUUGGCACAGAAUCAAAAUAAUGUCAACACGAUAGGUUGUAAACCUCAACUCGUGUGCUAGUGAUGAUCGAUAAGGUUUAUUUGAUUUGUUCUUGAAACCUUUCAAGACCAUUAAGACUCCCACUGACUCCUUGACAUAUAAGAUUCUCUUGUCAAAACAUUUCUUGACAAACAAAUAUUCAAGAGUUAGUGUAGCUUUUAUCAAAACUCUUCAUAAAUUGGUCCUAGUUGGUCUUUGUCUUAUCUAAGACAUCACAACUUACCACAUUUAAUGAAAGUUACAAACCUUCUUAAUACCUUUCACUCAAUGUCACAAUCUUAACUUUAAGACUUGUUUUGGAACGAAGUAUGAUUGACUUCUUGAAUUUAACCAUUUCUUCAAUUCUUGAUUCCUCUUCUUAGACAUACAAUUGUACUAAGACUCACUUAGAGGAUCAAUUGAGAUAUGGUUCUUAAUCAUUAAGACCUAUCAUAAAGCAUAAAAGCUACUCUCCCUUCUUCUUAGAAUGGAAAAACUUUUAUCUUUCUGCCUACUUGAUUCUUCUUAUUCGUUCUACUAUUGAUCUAAACCCUUUAAUCAAUUUAGAAUUACACUUAAUCUUGUAAGUAUAAUCAUAUUUACUAAGCCUUUAGUAAAUCAUGACGAAUAUCUUUGUUAUUCUUAUGGUGAACUUGAUCAACACACUACUUUGUGUACUUGAUCUCCUAGUCCUUCACUUGACACUUUGUCAACGAAUUGGUCUAAUUUCCAAAUAUGAAUUUCUCAUUCAUCAUGCAACCAAGUUGCAUGAUUCCAAAUUUCUGUCCGAUUGAAACUUUGGGCGAUGAGAAACUCUCCCUAUUUGGUAAAUUCUUGACAUUUCCAUAAAUAACAUAAACAAGAAUCAUAUCCAUUCGUUGUAGAAAUAUUCAAACAUCGAUUUUCAUAAUGAUUUCAUUGUAAGGAAAUAAAGAAUUAAAUAAAUAAGUCAAAAAAAAUUUAUUUUAUUUAUAAAAGCAGCGGAAAAAAAAUUUGUUUUAUUUUAUUUAUAAAAGCAGCGGAAAAAAUUUGUCCUUACAAUGCAAAAUCCAUUGAAAACUAUGUACAAAAGAAAAUUUCUAACAACUCUAUCAUAACUUUCUAAGCUCAAAAUCUAAUCUUCAAGUCCAUGCGAUCGAGAUCCAUCUCUUGUGAUUAGAUUCAUCUUGCUUUCUCUUAUCAAGCUUCCUUUCUUUUCACCGACCCUACAAAACAUUCAAAUGCAAUCUUAUUACAUCAUGUAUUAAGAAUCAAUGAAUAGGAACUUAAUUGAGUUAGAUAGUGGAUAUUUACCUAAAGCGCAGUCAUACUUUUGACUCUCCCAUCUCUUAGAUCUCUUAGGUAAUUAGGGCAACUUUGUCUCCAAUGCCCCUUCUCUUGGCAAUAAAAGCAAAUUGACUCUUUCGGAACAACACAUGGAACUACUUCAGACAUCGCCUUUCUCUUAUGAUCAAACUUUUCGAUCAUUGCAUGUCUUUCAUUGCCAUUGUCUAUAUCCAUAGAGGUCUUGAAGGCAGAUUCACCAAUCAACUUUGCUUUUCUAUUGUGCCAAACCAUUGCUGAUUCGGCAGCAAUAAGCAUAUAGGUGAGAUCUAUAAGGGUCACGUCGUGGUUCAUCAUAUAGUACUCUCUUACGAACUCACUAUAUGAGUUGGGAAGUGACUGAAGAACCCAAUCAACAGCCAUUUCCUCACAGACAACGGAUCCCAACAUUCUUAACUUAUCAAUGUGUGACUUCAUCCCUAGGACGUGUGCACACACCGACUUUCCUUCUUUAUGUUUACUUGCCAAAAGGGCUUGAGUGAUAUUGAACCUUUCAAUUUUACAAUCUUGUGGGUUAGGGAGAAUAAUUGGAGGAGGAGGAGGAAGUGAAGCAUGAUUUCUUGUUCCUCGAUCGAAUCGUGGAAUAUCAUCUUCAUGUGGAAUGCUUGUUCCACGGGAUUUGGGAAGACCAUAGUUGUCGAACUUUGACAUCUACAAAACGGGAGAAAACGAAUUCAAGUUAGUUGAUUGAUUGAGUCCUUAGUAAAUCACCCAAAUGAGAUACUAAGGCUAGGACCCAACACAAUAUUCUACAACUCGGGAGAGGGAUGCCGUAACCCAAAUUGCAGAACAUUUGAAGGUAAGUGAAUGACGAUUCACUAAUUUCCACCAUGAAAAACGAAAAAGAAAUUUAAGUUUUAAAUCUAUGAAAACUCCUAGAUCCUUUGAGAUUCAUUGAACAUUUCAAUGGCAUGUUUAAAUCUCGAUAUGCCCCUCUUGUUUGUGACUGGGAUGCCGAGGAUCACAAAGCGGGUGUGAAUAACCAUGCAAACUUACAUGGUGCCCUCACAUGUUACAGUCACCUAUUCGAUGUGCCGGUAAACCACACACGCUCCACCGAACUAUGACAAACAUUGAGUCACCCUUUGCUACCUUUGCUUAGAACCAUUUAGUGUGCCGGUAAACCACACACGCUCCACUAACGUCUUCGCAAGGGCACAAAGUGUAAUUUCAUGGAAUUGCAUCAAUUCACUUUUGCCUAAGUAACUAAGAUUGGGAAUUUUAUGAAAACAUUUAGUUACUUUUAUACUUCAUUAUACUUAUAAUGGAAGGUUUCGUCCUAUCCUACCCGUUCGGCUAACGACCCUCCACUAGUCAAGAGUGCGGUGGGUAAGAGUGGAUACCCAUUCAAUCGCCAUUUUAUAGGCAAUUUCCUUAAACACCCCUUAUAGACCAGCUUCGUGAAUGAGGCCUACUAACGGUAAGACUGACUUUUACUCAUACAUAUAUAUAAUGUUAGACUUUUAAUGUUAUAUAUAGUAUAGGGUGUAUUUUACACUUUUAAAAUACUAGGUGGUCAAAUUUAACAAUUAUACUUUUAAUUCAAUUAAAUUGUAAACCUAAACUUUUAUGGAUUUAUUAAACCUCUUUUAAUUAUACACCUUAAUUAAUUAAUAAAACCAUAAGGGUGUGAUUUGAACUUUUUCAAAACUAUACUAGAGUUUUAGAAUUUAACAUUCCUAAUUAAACUUUUAAUCAACUUUUAAAUUCCAAAACUUGAGGGCAAGUUUUGAAACAUUUCAACACAUUAGGGUUUAGAAUUUAAAUAUACAUCAAAAUUAAACUAUUUAAUCAAAAUUUAAAUUCCAAAACUUGAGGGCAAGUUUUGAAACCUUUUUCAAAACAUUAGGGUUUCAACUAUUUAAAUUUCAAAACAACAAAACUUUUGGGUUCAAAUUUAAACUAUAAAACCUAAAGGGGAAAAUAUGAAACUUUU